CAGCAAGCAGCUACAGACGGGGCUGGCUGCGUCAAGCUGCACGCAAAAACCCGCACGCAAGAGCGGACAUACGUCCUGAAAGUAGAACAGGACUCUAACAAUCAACUGCACGCACACUUAAGCAAGUUUCAGCCAGGAAGUUGCAGCGCUGUCGUGCCUAGCUUGACGUCCUGCAGUUCCGCUGUCAGCCAGACGUGGCGCUGCUGCAGGAAGCUGCUUGAUCAGAUAGUGACAAUGACGGUUGGUGUAUGUGGGACGGCUGGGUCACUGCAGCGAAGAAGUCGGUGAGUCUGGCUCUCACGUGCGGCCGUAGCCAGUCCAAUCCUCUUACAGCCUCCCCCUCUUCCCCCAGCAGUCGGGCCAGACUAUGAGAUCGGCUUGCUGAGUCCAGGUCUUAUCCUGAAGAUGCCGCAGAUCCUCGGCACAGAGUCACGCCAGCAUGCAUCAGAAACCACAGCCAACCCAUUUACCUGAGCACACACUUCACACGCUGUGCUGACUUUAAGAUGCAUCCACUUUCAUUGAGUUUUGUUUUAUUGUUUGAAUAUCUGUAAGCAAAAACACAUCAACUGGUCAACGCAUUCAUCUAAAUGCAUGUCACCUUCUUUUUCUUAUUAAAAUAUAAUGCUAAAAACAUUUUAGUUAUACACUAAGGGAAUGGAGCUCUUUAAGUUCGUCAAGCGUUAUUUAUUCACACUUGUUUAACAUGACAACUUAAGCUGAGUAUAUUCACUUGAAUAAACUUGACUGGACUACUUGAAACAAAUAAACAAUUUUUUUU